rnacentral:rRNA from 1 species
GAUGAACGCUGGCGGCGUGCCUAAUACAUGCAAGUCGAGCGAACAGACGAGGAGCUUGCUCCUCUGACGUUAGCGGCGGACGGGUGAGUAACACGUGGAUAACCUACCUAUAAGACUGGGAUAACUUCGGGAAACCGGAGCUAAUACCGGAUAAUAUAUUGAACCGCAUGGUUCAAUAGUGAAAGACGGUUUUGCUGUCACUUAUAGAUGGAUCCGCGCCGCAUUAGCUAGUUGGUAAGGUAACGGCUUACCAAGGCGACGAUGCGUAGCCGACCUGAGAGGGUGAUCGGCCACACUGGAACUGAGACACGGUCCAGACUCCUACGGGAGGCAGCAGUAGGGAAUCUUCCGCAAUGGGCGAAAGCCUGACGGAGCAACGCCGCGUGAGUGAUGAAGGUCUUCGAUCGUAAAACUCUGUUAUUAGGGAAGAACAAAUGUGUAAGUAACUAUGCACGUCUUGACGGUACCUAAUCAGAAAGCCACGGCUAACUACGUG